rnacentral:rRNA from 1 species
GUAAUCACAGGUCAGCAUACUGUGGUGAAUACGUUCCCGGGCCUUGUACACACCGCCCGUCACACCAUGAGAGUUGAGAAUACCCGAAGCCCAUGUCAAAGUGGUCGAAGGUAGGCUUGAUGAUUGGGGUGAAGUCGUAACAAGGUAUC